rnacentral:lncRNA from 1 species
AUGUUAGGUAAAACAGAUAAUGACAGUUACAAAGAUUUAGUUAAAGCACAUGAAGAAUUUAUUAAAUCUUGUGUUGAUAUUAAAACUAAAUUAAAAUAUAAAGACACAUUUUUUUUUAUUAUUCAAAAACUAAUUCAAAGAAAUUUACAUGAUUUUAAAAAAAAACAAGGUUUUCAUAUUUUUAGAAAAAAUGAUUAUACUAGCGAAUUAUCAGUUGAUUAUGUAAAAAAUUCCAAUAUAGAAGAAAAAAUUAAAGAACAACUUCUGAAAAAACUAAGUAAUGAAUUAUCAGCUAGUAAAUAUUACCCUUUUCGUAUUUUUAAAUGGAAGGGCGCUUUAGAAAUUAUCAAUAUAACCACAUUAAUGCUUCCAAUAACCUGUAUAGGAUUAUUUUUAUCGAAAAUGGGACUAUUUUCCGUAGCUGUGAAUAUACUACUAACUGCACAUUUUUUAACUUUCAAAAAAGAUCAAAAAAAAAAAUGGAAGUAUCCACAUUUGUUUUAACUUUGUUUCCGAUACUUUUACAUAUUUCUCUUGGUAUGGUUUCGAAGGAUCUAUUUCUUAAACAUUAUAAGGUAAUACGUACAUACGUGCAUAUACGUAUAUAUACAUGAUAAUUACCACAAUCAAAUGUAAUGAUAUUUUACAGGCAACUAUUUACUAGAGCAUAAUAUGCAUCUAUUUAUAUAAGUAGUUACAUAUUAUGCUACAUUAUAAACAAAAAACAUCUUUCGUUUUGCUUUUUUUUACUUAUAAGCUAUAUAUAUAUAUAUAUAUUUAUUUAUAUAUAACCUUUUUUUAACAGCAUAUAAUACCGACGUUUAUAAAAGUAGAAAACAUAUUAUCAUUUUUCAUAAAUAUUCAAUUAUAUAUUGCUUCCCUUAUUUAUUUUGUUAACAACAAUGACGAAGAACCUACAGAAAAUUUAGAAGAGGAAAUUAAAAACGACAAUAUGGAUUUCCAUAAUGAUAUAUAUCAAUAGGAUACAAAUACAUAAAAAUAAUACUUUCCUUUUUUUUUUUUUUAUUCAAUUUUUGUAUGUUUUUAUGUUAUAGAUAUUUUUUUUUUUUUUUUUUUUUUUUUUGUAUAUCGUUAAAUUGUUUUAUAUACGUAAAUUAAAGCAAUAUUAUAAUAUUUGACAAAAAAAAAUAUAUAUAUAUAUAUACAUAAAUAUAUAUCAUAUAUAUUUUUUUUUUAUUUAAUCAUUUCUUUUGUGCACCUCUCUUUAUUUUUUGUUUCGUUAUAUUUUGAAUCCGAAAUAUAAAUAAGCAUAUAUAUACAUAUAUAUACGAUUCCUUUUUUGUUUUGUUUAUAACUGAUUCAUAACAAGUGUCAAACUUAAAAAACUAAAAAACACAGUAAUAACAAAUGCAUGUGCAAGA